CCUACGGGAGGCAGCAGUGGGGAAUAUUGGGCAAUGGGCGCAAGCCUGACCCAGCAACGCCGCGUGAGGGAAGAAGGCUUUCGGUUUGUAAACUUCUUUUAUCAGGGACGAAGAAGAUGACGGUACCUGAGGAAUAAGCCACGGCUAACUACGUGCCAGCCGCCGCGGUAAUACGUAGGGGGCAAGCGUUAUGCGGAUUUAUUGGGUGUAAAGGGCGUGUAGGCGGGAGCGCAAGUCAGAUGUGAAAACUCAGGGCUCAACCCUGAGCCUGCAUUUGAAACUGUUGUUCUUGAGUGCUGGAGAGGUAAGCGGAAUUCCUGGUGUAGCGGUGAAAUGCGUAGAUAUACGGAGGAACACCAGUGGCGAAGGCGGAUUGCUGGACAGUAACUGACGCUGAGGCGCGAAAGCGUGGGGAGCAAACAGGAUUAGAUACCCGGGUAGUC
rnacentral:rRNA from 1 species